rnacentral:rRNA from 1 species
CCCAAGAUGCUCAGUAGCGGCGAGUGAGCGGCAGAGCUCAGAUUUGAAAUCUGGCCUCGUGCGAGUUGUAAAUUGCAGGUUGGAGUCUUUGUGGCGGCGUGUGUCUAAGUCCCUUGGAACAGGGCGCCAUUGAGGGUGAGAGCCCCGUGCGGCACGCGUCUAAGCUUUAAGACCCUUCUGACGAGUCGAGUUGUUUGGGAAUGCAGCUCUAAGUGGGUGGUAAAUUCCAUCUAAGGCUAAAUACUGGCGAGAGACCGAUAGCGAACAAGUACUGUGAAGGAAAGAUGAAAAGCACUUUGAAAAGAGAGUGAAACAGCACGUGAAAUUGUUGAAAGGGAAGGGUAUUGGGCUCGACAUGGGGACUGCGCACCGUUGCUUCUUGUAGGCGGCGCUCUGUGCGGUUUCUGGGCCAGCAUCAGUUUUUGCCGCGGGAGAAUGGGGGGAGGAACGUGGCUCUUCGGAGUGUUAUAGCCUCUCUCAGAUGCCGCGAGCGGGGACUGAGGUCUGCGAUUCGUUCAAGGAUGCUGGCACAACGGCGCAAUACCGCCCGUCUUGAACCACGCCACCAUUGAAACACGGACCG